AGACAUUUUGUUGUGCAAAUGUCGAUUAUAGGCAAAUUUAUCGUGUUACUCCAAUGACAGCACGAUUGAUCUAAUGUGAUAACAAAUCGAUAGUAUGUGAAUGGAAUCCGCCGGAUAAUAAGCGCAUUGGCGUAGUCGCGUGAAAUUCAUGCCAGCUUGUGUGCAACUGCCUACGACAUUACAUCGCAAUUAAAGCAGACAAGUUGGUGCAAAAGAGCGCUAUCACACCCAUGAAUGAAAGCUCCAGCCGUUCGAAACUGGUUGCAGUAGGUUUUUGGACCGAUAUCUAUGUUUGCACCCUUCGCAUACCUAAUCUUGAAUUUGUUCACACUGAGAAACUCGGAGGAGAACCAAUUCUUCGCUCUAUUUUGAUGGAUUACUUUGAGGGUAUCUCUUAUUUAUAUUGCGCACUCGAAGACGGUUCAAUGUUCUACUUCGUCAUGGAGAAAAAUACCAACAGAGUAAUAGACCAAAGAAAGUUACGCUUGGAAUCCAGCUGACUUCUGAAAAUUUUCCGGUCACUUCCGACAACAAACGUGUUCGCCUGUUUUGAUUGCCUAACCGAUAUUUACAGUUCUAACAACAAGUUGGUUUUCUCGAAUG